GCCUCCGUCUGGAGCGUGCGCUAUUUCUGAUCCUUGUCUGAUUUUUCUUUCAGAGAGAAGGCGUGCCGUGAAGACCAAGGAAACCAAACGGGAGGAACCCAGGAGAAAGGCAGCCAAAGAAGAGAAGGAGGGAAAGAGGGACAAGGAGCCAUCUAAGAAGAAGGUGUCCCCUGAUGAGAAGAAAGGAGCUCAGAAAAAACUAGAAGACAAGCCGAAAGAAGCAAAAAUUAAGGCUGAAGAAAAGGCUGUAAAGAAAAAGCAGAAAGAGGGCAGGACUGCAACUGUCAAAGCAGUGAAGGAACAACCUGUAAAAGAGAAGACCAAAGAACCGGAAGACAAGAAGAAAGCUCAUGCAGAAACACCAAAGAAGAAAGGAACUGAAGUUCCAAAGAAAUCACACAAAGCUCCCAAAAAAAGUGAUGCAGAAAAACCAAAAGAAAAAGGUAAGGACUUUUACUGAGGUCAGUAAUUGCCUGUCUAUCUAUCUAUCUAUCUAUCUAUCUAUCUAUCUAUCUAUCUAUCUAUCUAUCUAUCUAUCGACAAGUUGUUAGACCACCAAUAUCCAGGAGAAAUAAAAAUAAUAGAAUUUUUUUUUUUCUAGUUCCA
rnacentral:lncRNA from 1 species